rnacentral:rRNA from 1 species
GAUGAACGCUAGCGGCAGGCUUAAUACAUGCAAGUCGAGGGGCAGCAGGGUGUAGCAAUACAUCGCUGGCGACCGGCAAACGGGUGCGGAACACGUACGCAACCUUCCUUCAAGUGGGGAAUAGCCCGGGGAAACCCGGAUUAAUACCCCGUAAUAUUAUGAGGCGGCAUCACCUUAUAAUUAUAGUUCCGACGCUUGAAGAUGGGCGUGCGCCUGAUUAGGUAGUUGGCGGGGUAACGGCCCACCAAGCCUACGAUCAGUAACUGGUGUGAGAGCACGACCAGUAACACGGGAACUGAGACACGGGCCCGACUCCUACGGGAGGCAGCAGUAAGGAAUAUUGGUCAAUGGACGCAAGUCUGAUCCAGCCAUGCCGCGUGAAGGAUUAAGGUCCUCUGGAUUGUAAACUUCUUUUAUAAGGGACGAAAAAAGGUCUUUCUAGAUCGUCUGACGGUACCUUAUGAAUAAGCACCGGCUAACUCCGUGCCAGCAGCCGCCGUAAUAC